GCUCGUUUAGCUCAGCUGGAAGAGCGUCUCGUUUACACCGAGGAUGUCGGGAGUUCAAAUCUCUCAACGAGUACCA
rnacentral:tRNA from 1 species